UACGUAGGGAGCGAGCGUUGUCCGGAUUUAUUGGGCGUAAAGAGCUCGUAGGCGGCUCAUUGCGUCAACCGUGAAAACCAGCAGCUCAACUGUUGGCUUGCGGUUGAUACGGGUGGGCUGGAGUUCGGUAGGGGAGACUGGAAUUCCUGGUGUAGCGGUGAAAUGCGCAGAUAUCAGGAGGAACACCGGUGGCGAAGGCGGUUCUCUGGGCAUUACCUGACGCUGGAGGAGCGA
rnacentral:rRNA from 1 species